GAUGAACGCUGGCGGCGUGCCUAAUACAUGCAAGUCGAACGAGAAAGAGGAAGUCUUCGGAUGGACUCUGGAGAGUGGCGCACGGGUGAGUAACACGUAGAUGACCUGCCCCGGAGAGGGGGAUAACCGUUGGAAACGACAGCUAAUACCCCAUAAGCUCACGGUUUUCAGAAAGCUGUGAGAAAAGGUUCCGGCGCUUCGGGAGGGGUCUGCGGCCCAUCAGCUGGUUGGUAGGGUAACGGCCUACCAAGGCGAAGACGGGUAGGGGGCCUGAGAGGGUGGUCCUCCACACGGGAACUGAGACACGGUCCCGACUCCUACGGGAGGCAGCAGUAAGGAAUAUUGCCCAAUGGACGCAAGUCUGAGGCAGCAACGCCGCGUGUGCGAAGAAGGCCUCGGGUUGUAAGCGACUUUUGUAGAGGAUGAGGAAGGACGGUACGUCUCAGAAUAAAGUCUCGGCUAACUACGUGCCAGCAGCCCGGUAAUCUAGUCUACG
rnacentral:rRNA from 1 species